rnacentral:rRNA from 1 species
GACGAACGCUGGCGGCGUGCUUAACACAUGCAAGUCGAACGGAAAGGCCCUGCUUUUGUGGGGUGCUCGAGUGGCGAACGGGUGAGUAACACGUGAGUAACCUGCCCUUGACUUUGGGAUAACUUCAGGAAACUGGGGCUAAUACCGGAUAGGAGCUCCUGCUGCAUGGUGGGGGUUGGAAAGUUUCGGCGGUUGGGGAUGGACUCGCGGCUUAUCAGCUUGUUGGUGGGGUAGUGGCUUACCAAGGCUUUGCCGGGUAGCCGGCCUGAGAGGGUGACCGGUCACAUUGGGACUGAGAUACGGCCCAGACUCCUACGGGAGGCAGCAGUGGGGAAUAUUGCACAAUGGGCGGAAGCCUGAUGCAGCAACGCCGCGUGCGGGAUGACGGCCUUCGGGUUGUAAACCGCUUUCGCCUGUGACGAAGCGUGAGUGACGGUAAUGGGUAAAGAAGCACCGGCUAACUACGUG